AACGGUCUAUACCUGCGGUACCUGCGGAGGGAUCAUUAAUGAGAAGCUGCCCCUCGUGGGUAGACCUCCCACCCUCUGUGAACUUACCUUUGUUGCUUUGGCAGGCCCGUCCUCUGGACCGCCGGCUUCGGCUGGCCCGUGCCUGCCAGAGGAUUCCAAACCCUGUCUGUCAGUGUUGUCUGAGUCUAUAUGAAAUCGUUAAAACUUUCAGCAAUGGAUCUCUAGAUCGGAAGAGCACAC
rnacentral:misc_RNA from 1 species